rnacentral:tRNA from 1 species
GGAUAUAGCUCAGUUGGUAGAGUAUGUGGCUUGGAUGAACAAGGCCCUGCGUUCAAUUCCCAGAACCA